rnacentral:tRNA from 1 species
GGAAGGACCAUAGCUCAGUGGUAGAGCAUCUGCUUUGCAUGCAGAAUGUCCCAGUUUCAAUCCCCAGCAUCUGCCA